rnacentral:lncRNA from 1 species
CGCUAGCACAGACCACUGAUCUCGCGAGAGGUCUGAUGUUCCCUUAGGCGUCUCUUCUGCUGUGUUCCUAGGAAGUGUGGAGGCCAGAGUGCGCCCUCUGUGAACUGGCUACAAACUCCUGCUUGACCAUGAAAUCCCCCAGUUGAAGGCUGCCUGCUAGACUAAUGAACCCAGCAGGUCUUCGUUUGGGGAGGGUUGAAGAAUGGGAGCCGGUGACUCAGAUACCACACUCUAUCGCUGUAUGUUGGGUUUCUCUGAUUUUCUUUUUUAAAUGUAGAUUACCCAAAGCGUUCUGAUCCAUAACUUCUCCAUCUGAAAUGUGGAGCAUGGGUGCACGCUCUGACACUUUAUCUGGUACAGAUUCAUCACACUAUCCUCUGGCCAGCUCAUUUUGCUGCUCCCCAGUGGAUAGCUGUUCUCCAGGGCUGCAAAACUAGCCUUUCCCAUUGUCCUGCCUCCAGCACAACUCACAUGGUAUGUCUAAUGUCUCAAGUAGAUAGCGGUGAUUUAUCCUUCUGAAAGUGCUUAAAUUUUUCACGUGUUGUUAAUUCUACUCAACUUUGGAGGUUUCAUUUUGUGAAAUAAGGAGAAUAGUAAGUCACGGACAUCUGCUUUGGUAAGAGACUCCUCGUAGAGUGCUUCUACAAGUCACAUGACGUGACUCUAAAAUGAGACUCGACAAGGAUGUGCUAUCUGUGAAGUUCUUGGAGUGCCAAAGAUGGCGUUCCACAGCGCCACAUGCAUGCUGAUGGAUGUUUGUCACAUUUGUGGCGUCCUGUGCAUGCAGGAUUUAUAUAUACACAACAGUUUCAUCCUGUAGCUCCCAGGAGAGAAUCCUUAAGGACCUUCUAAUAGACAAUCUCAGUUUCUGUUAGUCCCGCAGAUGAGAGGAGAAAAAUGCCUACCCAAAUCAUGGACAGUUUAAUUAAAGCAAGCUUUCUUUUUGUGCCUUCCCCUGACCCAGUGUUCAUGAGAUCAGCCGUGGAUGUGGGAACGAUACUGGUUUUUAUACUCAGGAAUGGGGGUGGUGGUGUUCCAAAUAAGGGAUUUGUCAGGCAAUAGGUGGGGUUACUGUUAGGUCAAUGAUGCUGUCAAACAAACUGAAGGAAAAGGCCCUGGGGCAUGACAGAUGUAAAAGGUUACAGAAAAUUUCUUACUCUGGGAAGAGGAGGUACUAGGGAAAAUUUAUUCUCAGUGUUUGGUUCUAAAUCAUGGAAAUUGGGAAAAACAGAGCCUAAGAACAAAAUAAAGAUUAGUCAGUGAUAAAUAUGUCCUUAAAAAUAUAUAGCCGGGCAGUGGUGGCAUACUUUUUACUCCUAGCACUUGGGAGGCAGAGGCAGGCGGAUUUCUGAGUUCGAGGCCAGCCUGAUCUACUGUAGUAGCCUCCCCUCCCCCAGCCUUAGGGUUCCACUGUUUACACCUGGAUGGAGCUUGCCGGCUCAAUCGUUCUGCCAUGCCCACUGCUGGAACCUGCCUCCUUGCUAUUGGUCCCAGGGACUAUUUGGCGGGAAUCCCCCCCCCCCACCUCCUCCCCUUCAUAACUGCAUGCUGAUAUAGUAAAAUUGAGCUUUGAUCAGAA